UUUUCAUUUCAUUUCUAAGUGUAGCCGUCUCUCAAGAGCGAGGCAUAAAAUCAGAUCUAUCUUCUGAUCAUCUUGAAAUUUAGGCGGAUAUUUUGUUUUGCUUGUCAAUCUGCACCCGCAUUCCUUAAAAAUAUGUCAUCUUCAGUGCGUGAGACGUUGGACAUGAUAGAGCAGAAGUUGUUGUCGAAGAAACUUGAAGCGCUUCACCGGAAAGAGGAGUUCCUGGAGGGAUUUACAAUGAUUCCCAUCGAAUAUAAAGAUCCACUACCCAUUCGGGAAAUUCCUCGUAUGACGGAGGAGGAGUUGCAUAGGCUUAAUCAGGCAGAACUGGCUCACCUUUUAAAGAGAAGAUGUGCCGAUAGAUUGUUGGGUGAUGACACUGCAACUGGAUCUGUCGGAAAUUGUUCUGCUGCCGAGAACAGGGACUUGUAUUGGGCUGACCCUCAUAUUCAGUAAUAUAUGUACCCUAAGCAGGAAAACCACUGGAUUUUACAGUUACCUGAUGUUAUCCUUGAAGGCCCUGCCACUCUUGGUACCCUUGAGGCCCGUGGGAGCGGGUUCAUAUUCACAGCCCCGGAUUUCCAGUUGCACUUCAAGGAUACUAGUGUAAAAGAGUGUUUCUUCUCACAUGGAGAUGACAGGAGGCAGCGGCCACAUGAAUUGUUAUUCCACUUGGAUCACCCCAUGAUGGUGGGGACAACAGAGAUGAGGAAUAUGCACUUCUCUAUGUGGUCCCACUAAGCGAUGUUGAGUUUGUUAAUCUGGCCGAGGUUGAAUCUGGGGCGUUCGAUAUGACAGUGGUGUUCCAGGACUAUUCACGCGACGUGCUUCAAAUCUGCACAAUCGACAUAACAAAGCUCGCUGGCAUAAAACGUAUUCUUAACGAUGCAUACGUGAAGUACUAUUGUAACACUAAGAAACUAGCCGUGAAGGAGUGGAAUUCCAUAUUAAGAGAAAUCGUAGCGAGCCCCAAGAAGUUCAUUGAAUGUGGUGGAUGGGAAUCCUUGCAUCUCGAGGAUGAGCUUACUUUGUCCUGCUAUGGUAUUGCAAAAGAUCCCGAUUUUAGUAAUGGAGUGUUUCAAUGAUAACAAAGUGAAUCAGAGGGGCAAUGGAUCAGAGUGCGAAGAAGUGAAGGCGCGAGUAAAGCUGGAAAAAGCCUACCAAUUUAUCUGUGUUGCAUCUGGUAGUUUCUUUAGUUCUCUUUAUUGUUUGCUUAUUUAUAUAGAUGCGUGGUCUUAAGACUUUAAAGAUUUCCUGCCUGAAUGUUUUAAUUUAAUUCUGUUCUAAAUUAUCAUAUGUAAUUAUAUUAUUACUAUUAUUAUUAGGGCUUGGAUAAUAUUUAACAUAAGAUGUUUCCAGUCUGUUGUCUGGCAAUUACCCAACAUUACACUUAUUAUUAUUGGGAAGAUGAUGGUAGUGGUGUUGCAAUGUUGGUGGGAUUGCGGUUAAUUGAUCAGUGGUGGUGGUCAUGGCGGCGGCAAAAUUGUGGGCAAUGCUCUAAAAACUUGGUGAUCUAGUUCACUUGCAUGGAGGAAGCGUGGAGCACAUAGCCUCCUUAAAGCUCUCCCGACUAACUGAGCUACGGAGCGAGUGAAGCUACCAUUGCGAAGCAACGAGGGCUUUCUCAUGACUGAUUUGACUCAUCCCGCAGACUUGAAGAUUUUAUCAGCCAUUAUAUCUUUCUGGAUCAAAUUUCUUAAGAGUCUCUCUCAGCCACAAAAACCGACACUUCAAGUUCCCUUUCCUCUUUAUCUUUCUGGAUAAGGGCUUUGUUGCAUUUACUUAUGGGAUUAUGGAUUCUUGCAGGUCAUGCAUUGUUGGAUUCAAUUUGUAUUUAUCCUUAUCCUUCUACGUGUACACUGCGGCAGCUGGUUUCUUAUGGUUUCGACUUUUCAAAGGUCAAGCAUCUG